GGAUGAAGUUUUUAAUCAAUUUGAUUAAAGAAACAAAAGAGUGUAAUUCUUACAAAUGAGUCUCCACUCUAACAAUAUCUGUACAAGGUGAAAACAAGCACAAUACAACAACAUAAAGGGCAGCCUCAUGUAGUCUUCAAAGGUUAAGACUUGGGCCCCAUUAGUUUGUGCCCCCCCGCUCACAUUUUAUUUUAUUUUUUAAUGUUUUUGGAUUACCUUAGAAGCACGAUCAUGGCCCCAGCUCCAAGGAGUCUGGAAAGUUGAAGGGCCAAAUUUGAACUGUCCUUAAUUUGAAGGAUGGGAGGUCCGGCAAAGCGUACGGUGCUGCUUGUCAAGCCUUUCGCCCAACAGGAAAGGUUUUCAGCAUGUUUUUGCUCUUAACUGUGGGAUAUCAGAGGUCGACCUCAAAACAGCUUCAGUUUUUUGGCUUCAUCAUCUGCAACCACAUGCAAGCCAAUCCUUUUUAAUGAUAAAACACUCUCAGGAGAAUAAUAUGGUAUUUGAAUCAGGAGAAAGCAUUAAUUUAAAAAUAACUGUAUAAAGAAGUCAGAAAUUAAAUUGCAAUUACUCUUGAUAAAAUAGGAUUUAAAACACUGCUGACAACUUCAAUUCCAGUCUUAAGCAUCUUACACCACCCAAAUGACUCACCAUAGAAUGCUGCAUCAUUUGGCUCAGUUGCGAAUAGCAAAAUGACUAUAAAUGCAACCGGAAAGAACUCUGAACUAGAAAUGGACAAAUCCAGGUCACUACCAAUCAAAUCAUUAUGCACUGCGCACAUGUAACUAUAGAAAACAAAAGGUUGUCCCCCACCUUCAUUAUUAGCUGGAUAAUGUAAAUUUAGCUCCGUAGCAAACAUUUAAAGCUUUUCACCUGAAAUAUAACACAGCCAUUGAAAUACUUGUUCCAUUGUUUGUAAAUAAGCAUGCAAUCUGUGUCAAGUCUGGAUGUUUAAACAACGGUUGCAUGUGUCCAUUGAAGUUUAGAGAUGACAUACAUAAGUUACGGUUAAAUAAACACGUGCAUCUAAACCACAGAUAUGAAGAAGUGGUUGUGUGGAGGUUAUACUCUACCGCCAAUGAAAAACCAAAUUAGUGUCUUCCCCCUUUUAGUUAUUAUACAUCUUUAUCUUUUCCAUCACACAACUAAGUAAAUCAAGGGUUUGUUAUUUGAUUAUUAUCGACCAAAUAAUGGAAAAAUAAUCAACAAAAAACACCAGUAGAGGGUGUGAACCUGUACGCUUUGAUUACAAGAGAACUUCACCAUCCAAAUUCCUAUAUUCCAACCAUGCAAAUGAUAUACAUUCAGAUUACUAAUGAAAAAACAUGAUAUCCAAACAUGCUUAAUGAAAAAACUAGUGUACCCAAUGGCAAUUUGCAAUCCAUGCAUUCAUUCAGAUUACUAAGCUUCUCGACAACAUGCUUAAUGAAAAAACUAGUGUACCCAAUGGCAAUUUGCAAUCCAUGCAUUCAUUCAUGCCUACAAUCUAAAAUAUGCUUCUCCCAAGUCCUAACCAAACUCGUUGUUCGAGUCCAUUGAUACCACCUUCCUGAGUUUGUCAACACCAUAGCCGGUAUUUUAUAUGCACGAGUGAUAGCACUAAGAGGACUUAAAUCUUUCAUAUCUGACACCCUCUUCUAUAGUGCACCAUAGCAAAAUAGCCAUUCAAACUCCUAACCUUAUUUCCGGGUCAGAGCACGUAGGAAUUGAAGCUACAAGGCUAAAGAAGUUUAGGGUAGUUUUGUUUUUUCCUUUUCCUAUCGUGUUCUAUCAUUGACCAACAUUUUAUGAAAUUUAAACAACAAUUAUUUACACAAGCAUCAGAACCCUUUUAGCUUAUAAGCAAGUGAGGGAACCAACCAAAGAGCAUGUUUUAUAUAGCUGAUCUUAUGUUUUAGUAGUCAAAUUAAGAUUCCCAAAAAAUCUAAGAAUUACGAGGUAAAUGAUCUUCAACAUGAACAAAUGCUAGUAAAAACAAACCCCAAUAGAUGACAUAAAGAAGGAAUAUGUAAAAUCACAAGAAAAUGAACUAGCAUUAUUCAAUUGAGCGACAUAAAUCAAAACAAGUUGACACAAUACCUUCAUUGGUAUCCAUUAUCAUCCUUUUCCUUUGUCAAUUCCUCCAUAAAUCUCCAGUAAACCAGGAACUUUAUUCUCAUACUUGGCAACACAUCUCUCCAUGAAAUCCUUCUCGCUUAAUUUUAGAAAAGUAGCAAUGUUUGCGUCUCCUUUAAUCAGCUUCUUUGACUUCAAAACCUCCAAAACAUUGCACCUCGGAAGAAUCCUUUUGCCAAAAGAGUAUUUAAGAAGCGCAGGAUUGGCAACUAUAGUUUGCCGUUCCAACUUCAUCUUAUUCAGAAAGAAAUCCAUCAUGCUCCGGAUUUUCUCCUCUGAACUUAAUAAUAGACAAGGGAAUCGCUUAAAAGCCCAUAAAACCUCCUCCUCGGUCCACCCAACACUCUUAAACAUAUCAAUUUUCUUCCUCCAAGCAGAUUCAUUCAUUCGUGCAAUCACUGUAAGAGCAUGUAUAUACAUUGUCUUGUCUGGUUCGAUGCCCAGUUGCUUAAGAUAACUGACAGCAUAAACCAUCCUAUCAUUACUAUGUUGUAAGGAUCUUGGCUGCGACAAUAGCAGUUUUGCAACCCUAUCAGCGGUCACUCCCUCCUUUUUCAACAAGUCAAGGUUUGGUCGCACGGUAGCAUUGAAACUAAAGGACAUUAAAAAAGGAGCACGACUAAGAGCAGCUAAAAUAUUCUCAUUACUUUCAAGAAAUCGUUUCAAAAGCUCAUAACAUGGCUUGAUAUGAGCAUGUAAGGAGGCUCUAAAAAUUCUCGGAUCCAAUACGGCAAGCUGAGGCAGAAGCUGACCCACAAAGCCAUUUUUUAUGAAGAAGUCAAACUUAGGCUUGAGAUUACCUUCUGUUCUGGAACGGAGGACAGCGGGCCACUUUUCGAUCAAUUUGGCAACGUGGGCAUCCUGAAAAUCGUAAGAUUUCAAGAACUGGAUGACGGAUUGAGGCUUCUGAAGGUUAUUUUCAUCGAUUUGGAACUUUUUGGAGACGGAAAGAGCAGAUUGUAGAGGAAGCCCGCAUGAGUUGACGAGGUAUUGAACAGUAAAAGAAGAUGAGGCAUUGGGAGGUCGUGUAGUAGAUGAUGUUUUCAGGAAACGUCUUUGAAUCAGAGAAAGCAGAUUUCUCAAUGGUAUAUUGCUAUUAAUAUUGGUGAUCAUUUUUUAGUGGGAAGCAAAAUGCUGAAAGAUUGAUGACAGGAAAAGAAGAAGAAGAAGAAGGGUUUUCGUUAGGGUUUCUCCCCUGGCUGGCUGGCGGUCUGCUAAAUUUGACUGGCCCAGAUGGGCUUGUUUCAGGUGGCCCUUUUUUUCAGAGAGAAACUGGAGUGAGAGGGGGACAGAGAGCCUUUAAAUUAAAACCCAUUGAGUAGGGAUUGCAAUGGAGGUCGAAGGAGGCUCAGGCACCCUCUAGUUUUUGCAUCUAUGAAGAUAUUUUGGCUCGGUUUAUAAUUGAGGUGAAACCUUGUUUUUUAAUUUUUUUAAAAUAAUUUUAUAUUUGAUUAUAUGUGAUGUGUUAAUAUAUAUAUAUAUAUAUUGUUUUAAUAUAUUUUUAAAUAAAAAAAAAAUUUAUUUUCAUAUGCAAUGUUUUUACCACGCUUUCAUGCCAGUUUUUAUAUGUAAAGAGUUAAACUAGUUUGUAUAUUUACAUUAUGCUAUGAAAAACUUAAUUUCUUCAAACAUAAAAAAAUAUAUAGUUAUUUUUUUAUAUUAUCAUUAAAUCUCAAAAUACAUUUGUUUUGGAUUAUUUUUUAAAUAAGUUUUUUUUAUUAAUAUAUUUUAUUUAUCUUAUUCAAUGUAAUAUUUUUUAAUUAAAACCAAUGUUUUAAAAAAAUAUUUUAUGAUUUUUAAAACAAGUUAACAAAAAAAUUAGACAUUUAAAGUAAAAUUUUAAAAAAUCAUAAAUGAAAUAUAUAAUGAAAUCAUCUUCAAAAUCUAUUUAAACUUUUUUAUAAUUUAAACUCAAUUUCAAUCUAUUUUUAAUAAACAAUUUAUUAUUUAUAAUAUUAUUAUUUUCAUAUGAAAUACAUAACAUUUGAUAAAAAAAUAUUAAAAUUCAAAUAAAUAAUUAUACUAGUAUUUAAAAACCAUAUUAAAAAUAAAAAGUAAAUGAAUCUAGUAAAUGUUUUAGAAUGUAAAUGAAAAAAAAAAAAAAACUCAACAACGACUACGGGUUGACCUGGCUCACCAAUAGCAGGCUAGUCACACACACCCAUCCUUGUUUUAUCUUUUUAUUCAUUCACCCUAUACUUUUUCUUUUUGAAAAAAAUAUGAUAGGCUGGUCAAUUAUAACAAUUCAAAAAAUAAAUGCACCUCACCCAGCGCUAGAACUCAUGACGUUUAGGUUGUCACACACGUUAAUUAACACAUUAAUUUAUUAUAAAAUCAUUAAAAAAAUAUAUUGAGUUGAUUCAAUGAACAAUAAAGCACCAUAAAAAAACCCUCCUUCUUUGGGAGUGUAGUAUAAUUUCAAUACUCCACACCCUUUAUGAUUAAGGGCGUAUUUAGUAUUAUAUUUUAAAAAUAUUUUUAAAAAAAUUAAAAUUUUAUUUUUGAAUUAAUAUUUUUGAUGUUUUUAAAUUAUUUUGAUAUACUAAUUUUAAAAAUAAUUUUUAAAAAAUAAAAAUAUAUUAUUGAUAUAUAUUCUAGUUACACUUGCCACCCCUACCAUUAACACAAGGAAUUGAGAUUUUCUUACAAUAAUUUAUUUUUCGUGUUCUUUUUCUUCAGUUUUUUCUGUUGUUUUUUAUCUGCUACAAACUUGUCGUCGUUGAAAAAUGAUUGGAACCUACAUUUUAUUAGCAAUGGCGUUUUUGGUCUCAACAUACCAUGAAAACAACAGCAGAUAACGUUAUAUCCAAUCAUGAUUUAAUGUUUGGAGAAACUGUCGUAAGCAACUGGCAAAGACAGUGCCUCUAAGCUUCCUUAAAUUGUGAUUCAAGCAACAAUUAAGCAAAUAUAAUUUGGAACGAGCCAUACAAAAACUACCUUUGUUCCACUAAAUUAACGCUGCCAAGAUUAAUCAUUAAAGAAUUUAGGAUAGUUUUGUAUUUAAGAUAGCUCUUUGUCAGUCAUCUCCAUAAAUGCAAACCCUAUUUAUUUUGUUGAAGUUGAGUUCCUUACGUUUAUUUAAGGAUUUUAAACCAUGUCUAUAAUACUCGGCUCGACUUGAAUAGACCUGAUAAUUUAAAACCUGACUUGGUUAGAUUUUAGUUCGAACAAGUUUUGUUUCCCAAAAUAAUAUUGUUUUUGGUUUUUUAAAUCAUAAUUUAAGUUGACGUAUCAAUUUAUAAAUCAAUCCACUCAACUUUUUGAUUCCCUCCUUAAACCAGAUUGAUUAUCAUUACUCCCACCUUUUCAUAUUCAAACUUUUCCAUAUUCAUUUUGAAUAUCCAUGAAUUUCUAAAUUUUAAUAUAAUUUUUUUUAUAAUUAAUGUGGGUGUUUGAGCCAGUUUGUACGUACCUCGAUUAAUUUCACAGGUCCUGAAAUUAAUGACCAUAUAAGCCUUUAAUAACUAUCACAGGACUCGAACUUAAAACCAUAGAAGAAGCAAACCUUUUAAUUCCAAGCUUUUACCACUAGACCACCUACUAGAUAGUUAUACAAUUCUUUAAUCUUGCGAUGAUUGUGUGAUUUAAAAAAGAAAGAAAAAAAAAUAUUAGACAUGAUCAUUGGAGCUGAUUGGACAUGAAGGUAAAAUUAAUAUCUGAGUGACAUUUUAACAAUCAAACGAAUGCUUUGUAUGCUCCCUUGUAUACACAAGAAGUAAAAUAAAAUGCUAUAAAGGAAAUACAUAGAAAAGGUAAGGAAACAAAUUAACCAACAUUAUCUCUCUCCCACCAAGCUAAACCCAAUACAAUGCAGGACGUUAUGGAAGAUUUGAAUAAUGAGUUUGAAUUUGCUGCGAUUAUAACGCAUGAAAUUCCUAUUAAACGUGUUUAUAGAUUAGAUAAACAAGCAAGCUCAAGAAAGAGCUCAGAACGUGAUAUAUAUAUAUAUAUAUACACACAGAUACUUUUUUAUAAAAAAACUGUUAAUUUUGACCCAAACGAGCUUAAAAUGACAUCUAAAUUGUGGACAAGUCAAUUGGAUUUGAUCCAAGUCAAUGUCAAAAAAGAAUAAACUAAAUUGCAGAUAUGGAAAUUUGUAUUCACGUAUGGAUUACUGCAUAAAUCCAUCAUAAUUUUAUUUUAUUUUUUCAAAAAGAGAGCAAUCAGAUCGUUGAUACAAUUAGUAAAUAAGGGAAAGAUUAACUUUUUGAGUAAUGUUAUUCAUCCUGAAAUAUUAAAUUUUCUAUACAGUGAGUUCUAUGGUCUGAUUUUUUUAAAAAAACUUGCUAUGCAUCCUGGGUAAAUUUGAAAUAUUUACCUCUAUUGUUCGUUUUAAUGCCUGAAAUAGAUGAAAUUUUUAAUUAAUUUUGUUAAAUGCAACAACAGAGCUCAAUUCUUACAAAAUAUCUGUACAAGGUGAAUAACAAGUACAAAACAACAACAUAAAGGCACCUUCAUGUAGUCUUCAAAGGUUAAAAGGACUUGGAAGCACGAUCAAGGCCCCAGCUACGAGGAGUCUGGAAAGUUGAAGGGCCAAAUUUGAACUGUCCUUAAUUUGAAGGAUGGGAGGUCCGGCAAAUCGUACCCUGGUGCUUGUCAAGCCUUUUGCCCACCAGGAAAGGUUUUCAGCAAUGUUUUUGCUCAUAAUUGUGGGAUGUCAGAGUUCGACCUCAAAACAGCUUCAGUUUUUUGGCUUCAUCAUCU
rnacentral:lncRNA from 1 species